UUUAUGUGAUCAAUGCAAAAUUAUUAAUAAGAUAUUGGAUAUUGUUUUUUUUCCAUAGAAGCCUUUGAAAUCUGGUAUAUAUUUGACACUCACGACAUAUCUCAAAUUCAGACCAGCCAUGUUUUCAGCGCUCAGUGGCCACACACGCGUUGGCCAGUGGAAGCCUAGAGCAAGGAAACUACCAGAAACAUUUGCCAGAAACUACCAGAAAUAGAUGCCACUGUUGGCAUCUUCACCUAGCCCCCAAAUCCAGCCAGCUCCUAAUGCCUCCCCAAACCCCAUUCCUGGCUUUCUGGGCUGCUAGUGGACCAGGCGGCCAGGUGUAACCUGACUUCCAUACUGGGCGUUUUCACCUGUCCUCCUCCUUCCUGCCUUGAUAGUAGCAAGUCACGGACAUUCCCUCCAGCCCGGUUUGUUUGCUGCUCCUUCAUUCAGAGAUAUUUACCAAGCGCUUCCUACGUGUUAAGCCCUGGAGAUACAGCGGCCGAUACUUUGGGGGACACACGAGCUUUCUGUGGACAAAAAUCUCGGGAGCGCCUCGAACCUGGCCCAAAGGAGAGGCAGAUGCGUGGGGAGAGCCCAGGUGCAAGGAGCAAAGGGGUGCAAGGAGCAAACUGCACCAUUUCUCUCCUACCCCCUGAAACAGGACCGGGACUCCCCUUGCAGCCUCCAGCCCCCCCCCCCCCCCCGCGAGGGACAGGGUCUCUCAACCGGGAGAAGCGCCGUGGCGAUGGUUUCUAGCGGAGAUGCCGCAGUUCGACCUAAACUGUGGACUGCAAUGGCGGGAGAAGCAUCUUGCAAAGCUGGAAUCUCCGGGCAGCCGUGCUAAUGAGGAGCCCAGACUGCGGGGUGCGAUUCACCUCGUUUUCUGGUUUAAUCCUCCCCAAAGCUCUAGGGGACGAAAUGCACGGAAUUCAUUGUCCCCUUUUGCCAGCUGGGGAAACUGAGGCUUAAAGAGACCGCGUGUCAUCGCUCCUCCCCUCCGGGCUCCGUCUCUGCCACUCCUGCUGAGACCCGUGCUCACCGCCGCGGCCCACCCCUGCACCGCCCAGCCCGGGACCGGCGGCCCUGCUCCGGGACUGAGGCACCGGGUGCAUGAGU